rnacentral:hammerhead_ribozyme from 1 species
AUCUAGAUGACGAGUCAUGAAUAGGACAAAACGCGUGUCCUGGAU